rnacentral:rRNA from 1 species
AGUGAACGCUGGCGGUAGGCCUAACACAUGCGAGUCGGACGGCAGCACAGUAAGAGCUUGCUCUUACGGGUGGCGAGUGGCGGACGGGUGAGGAAUACAUCGGAAUCUACUUUUUCGUGGGGGAUAACGUAGGGAAACUUACGCUAAUACCGCAUACGACCUACGGGUGAAAGCAGGGGAUCUUCGGACCUUGCGCGAUUGAAUGAGCCGAUGUCGGAUUAGCUAGUUGGCGGGGUAAAGGCCCACCAAGGCGACGAUCCGUAGCUGGUCUGAGAGGAUGAUCAGCCACACUGGAACUGAGACACGGUCCAGACUCCUACGGGAGGCAGCAGUGGGGAAUAUUGGACAAUGGGCGCAAGCCUGAUCCAGCCAUACCGCGUGGGUGAAGAAGGCCUUCGGGUUGUAAAGCCCUUUUGUUGGGAAAGAAAAGCAGCAGGUUAAUACCCCGCUGUUCUGACGGUACCCAAAGAAUAAGCACCGGCUAACUUCGUG